rnacentral:tRNA from 1 species
AGGGGUGUAGCUCAGGGGUAGAGCACUUGCUUGGCUUGCAGGAGACCCUGGGUUCCAUCCCAGCACUGCCC